UAUUGAUGAUUAAAUAUGGUAAUGGGUCAUUGGAUUGUGCUCACAAGAUCAACAAGUUUUUUUUUUCCCGAGAACCUUAAUGUUCAACUUUCUUUAUCGUACCCAUCUUUUAUAUAAUUUUAAUUAUUUAUAUAUAUAUAUACAUAUAUACAUACACACACACAAAAUCAUUAUUGUUGCUUCCUCAUCACAGCAGAUGGUAUCCAUUUUUUUAAAUUUAUUUUUGAG
rnacentral:lncRNA from 1 species